rnacentral:rRNA from 1 species
CCUACGGGUGGCUGCAGUGGGGAAUAUUGGACAAUGGGGGCAACCCUGAUCCAGCCAUGCCGCGUGUGUGAAGAAGGCCCUCGGGGUGGAAAGCACUUUCAGUGAGGAAGAACGCCUGGUGGUGAAUACCCAUCAGGAAAGACAUCACUCACAGAAGAAGCACCGGCUAACUCCGUGACAGCAGCCGCGGUAAUACGGAGGGUGCGAGCGUUAAUCGGAAUUACUGGGCGUAAAGCGCGCGUAGGUGGCUUGAUAAGCCGGUUGUGAAAGCCCCGGGCUCAACCUGGGAACGGCAUCCGGAACUGUCAAGCUAGAGUGCAGGAGAGGAAGGUAGAAUUCCCGGUGUAGCGGUGAAAUGCGUAGAGAUCGGGAGGAAUACCAGUGGCGAAGGCGGCAUUCUGGACUGACACUGACACUGAGGUGCGAAAGCGUGGGUAGCAAACAGGAUUAGAUACCCCGGUAGUC